rnacentral:rRNA from 1 species
GAACCUUCGGGGAACGAUAACGGCGUCGAGCGGCGGACGGGUGAGUAAUGCCUAGGAAAUUGCCCUGAUGUGGGGGAUAACCAUUGGAAACGAUGGCUAAUACCGCAUGAUGCCUACGGGCCAAAGAGGGGGACCUUCGGGCCUCUCGCGUCAGGAUAUGCCUAGGUGGGAUUAGCUAGUUGGUGAGGUAAGGGCUCACCAAGGCGACGAUCCCUAGCUGGUCUGAGAGGAUGAUCAGCCACACUGGAACUGAGACACGGUCCAGACUCCUACGGGAGGCAGCAGUGGGGAAUAUUGCACAAUGGGCGCAAGCCUGAUGCAGCCAUGCCGCGUGUGUGAAGAAGGCCUUCGGGUUGUAAAGCACUUUCAGUCGUGAGGAAGGUAGUGUAGUUAAUAGCUGCAUUAUUUGACGUUAGCGACAGAAGAAGCACCGGCUAACUCCGUGCCAGCAGCCGCGGUAAUACGGAGGGUGCGAGCGUUAAUCGGAAUUACUGGGCGUAAAGCGCAUGCAGGUGGUUUGUUAAGUCAGAUGUGAAAGCCCGGGGCUCAACCUCGGAAUUGCAUUUGAAACUGGCAGACUAGAGUACUGUAGAGGGGGGUAGAAUUUCAGGUGUAGCGGUGAAAUGCGUAGAGAUCUGAAGGAAUACCGGUGGCGAAGGCGGCCCCCUGGACAGAUACUGACACUCAGAUGCGAAAGCGUGGGGAGCAAACAGGAUUAGAUACCCUGGUAGUCCACGCCGUAAACGAUGUCUACUUGGAGGUUGUGGCCUUGAGCCGUGGCUUUCGGAGCUAACGCGUUAAGUAGACCGCCUGGGGAGUACGGUCGCAAGAUUAAAACUCAAAUGAAUUGACGGGGGCCCGCACAAGCGGUGGAGCAUGUGGUUUAAUUCGAUGCAACGCGAAGAACCUUACCUACUCUUGACAUCCAGAGAACUUUCCAGAGAUGGAUUGGUGCCUUCGGGAACUCUGAGACAGGUGCUGCAUGGCUGUCGUCAGCUCGUGUUGUGAAAUGUUGGGUUAAGUCCCGCAACGAGCGCAACCCUUAUCCUUGUUUGCCAGCGAGUAAUGUCGGGAACUCCAGGGAGACUGCCGGUGAUAAACCGGAGGAAGGUGGGGACGACGUCAAGUCAUCAUGGCCCUUACGAGUAGGGCUACACACGUGCUACAAUGGCGCAUACAGAGGGCAGCCAACUUGCGAAAGUGAGCGAAUCCCAAAAAGUGCGUCGUAGUCCGGAUUGGAGUCUGCAACUCGACUCCAUGAAGUCGGAAUCGCUAGUAAUCGUGGAUCAGAAUGCCACGGUGAAUACGUUCCCGGGCCUUGUACACACCGCCCGUCACACCAUGGGAGUGGGCUGCAAAAGAAGUAGGUAGUUUAACCUUCGGGGGG